UUCUUCUUCUCUUUUCAAUACUGUAUGAUUAUGCGAUUUGUGUGUGUACCUUAAAUUUGCGUGCUUGUUAUAACAAAUUGCCUCAAUGAUUCUGCGAUAAAGAUGUAGAAUGAGGCAUUGUCAAUCAAGCUUCUCACAACUCCUAUAUUGAAACAAAUCCAGAAUCGACAUAAAUCACCCGCAAGAAAAUUUAAAGGGAAGUGAAAAUGGGGAAAAAAUAAAAAAGUACUAGCUUCUAUAACUGGGAAUUUUGAUGUAUUGUAUGUUCCUCUUACCCUGCAGGAACUGUUAAAAAGGUUCUAUAUGUAGACUAAAAAAUUUAUUUAGACUAAAAAACUAACGUUAAACUUAUCUCUGCAAUUCUUAUAUUACAAAAAUAAUAAAUAAAUCAUUAUGAUCUUCUAAAUAUCCUUAAAAUGAUUAUUGCACACUUUACAAGACCACAAAGACUUUCAAAUAGCAUCUGCACAUCAAACAUAUUCAUUGCAUCCAUCAUCCAUUCAACUGAUUUGAUAGUUUUUACUGGUGACAAUGAUGUGGAAAGUUAUGUAUACACCAAUCCAGAUACACAAGUAUGCUAAAAAUAAAAUUUUAUGGAUAUAUUUAGAUAUUCAUACUUGGAUUACCACUAAUACCACAAUUGUGGUCUCCCAUCACCCACUCCACUUGUUUCUUUUGCUAUUCUAUAACCCACCAGAACAAAUACAAAUUAGUGAUCCCUUCCUUUGGCAAGCAAUUUUCAAUUUUAUUUUUUCUACUUUACAACCACCAAAAUAAACAAUAACCAGUGAUAACUUCUUUUAAACGAAAAUUAUUUUGAUAGAAAAAAACAUUGCAGUAAGAUUGCAAGAUUAAAAAAACAUUGCAGUAAGACUGCAAGAUUAUUCUAAUUAAGAAUUUUGUCUAACACUGAUAUGUAAUUAUUUUCAUAUUGAAAAAUUUUCUACCACUGUGCACAUAUGGGACUUAUAUAUACUUGUAGUCAAUUAACCAUGUAAUACUUGUGGACAGAGCAAAGAAAUAAAAUAUAAUUUUUUUGGAUAGUCUAAAAGUGUGUGUGUGUGUGUGGCGCGUAUUACCAAUUGUAAUACUUGUGCAAUUUAAUAUGUGAUGUGUUGAAAUAAAAUAUUGUUUUAGUUUCUUGGAAUGUUCACAGUAAAAGCAUGUAUUUUAUUAAAGUAAGUAAAGUUAACAAUGUUGUGAUUGAUUACUUUUGUAUUUUUUAUGUCAGGGGGAAAAUGAAUUAUGCAGAGUAUUAUACUCUUGUUUUUAAGUAUGAAGAAAAAGAGAGUGAACUUGGGAAUGUCCCAGCAGAUAAGUAUUCAUACAUUGAGUUGCUAGCUGAUGUGUAUAAAAUGUUUGAAAUACAAUCUGAUUUUAUUAGUGUAAUGGCUGGAAAUGGACUGGCUGUUGAAACUGAUUGGGACCUACUUUUCAUGUUUGAAAUGUAUAAGAAUAACCCAGUGAUUCCUUUUACAAUUAGAACAAAACACGUUGCUCUGAGUGUUGAGAUGCCAGGUGAUAAUAGGAAGUCCAAGGUGUGUAGGGUUGGCCCAGGUAACACGGGGCAAUUCUGGUGAUUUGGCCGAAAAGGGUAAGAAGAUUGUUGGUGAAAUUGAAAUUGGGGAUAAGGAUAUGGGUAGAUUUGGACCUUAUUUUAGUAUUGGAAGAGAGGCUAAAAAUGUAAACAUGAGUUUUGUUGAUGUCAGAAUGGCUUCUGUGGGCAGUGUGAUAGGUGGUCGAAGGAAUACUGCCCCUGUUCACUAUGUUGGUGUGUCUAGUGGAGGGGGUUCUGUUAAAAUGGGCAGGGGGUCUGCUACUGUAGGCAGAGGAUCUUCUACUGUGGGCAGAGGGUCUUCUAAUGUGCGCAAGGGUUCUGUGAGGGGUAAAAGAAGAGCUAGGGCUGCACCUAAUGAUGAUGCACCCCCUGUCAGUGAUAGUGAGAUUGAAUUUACUGACAAUGAUGAUGAAGACAGGCUGGAACAUGGUUAUGAAAUGAGUAGUGAUAAUGAGGAUGAAUUAGAUGAUGACAUUGGGGAUAUAGAGGAAGAUGAUGAUGGAUUGUCUGACAUUUGCAGUGACAAGGAUGAUGAAAAUGAUGAUCCUAUUAAACAAAAACCAUAUAAAGAUCCAUUUAAGGGGGUGUAUGCAAACCCUUUUCAUUAUAAAAAGGGUGAAGAUAUUGCUUUCCAAGUUGGUCAGGUUUUUAAAGAUGUCACAGCUAUUAAAGAGGCUUUAAGAGACUAUGCAGUGAAAGGAGGGUGUGAAAUACAUAAAAAGAAGAAUGAUAAUAGGAGGGAAACAACUACUUGGGGUGCUGAAGGAUGUGAUUGGAGAUUUAAUGCAAGUACUUUAGCAAAUGACAUGACAUUAUGCUGAAGACUCUUAUUAAUGUUCAUAGUUGUAUGAGACCACUAGACAAUAAGAACCCCAAUGGCACCACUAGAUGGAUUUUAGAGAAAUUGAUGAGUUUUAGAGCUGAUCCAAAUAUGUCUUAUGAGCUAAUGCAACAUCACUUGAGAAAUGCGAAGUGGAUGCACCUAUGUGGCAUUUGUAUAGGGCCAAGACUAUAGCUAAAUCACAAAAUAUUGGGGAGCAUGCUAAUAGCUACAAAAAGUUUAAAAAAUAUUUGUACUACUUGCAAAAGUAUAAUCCUGGAGUAGUGGUUAAGAUUGAACUAGAAACUAGAGUCAAGGAAGAGGAUGACAUGGUUUUCAAAAGAUUGUUCAUAUCAUUCGAAGCAACCAAGGAUGGGUUCACAAAGGGACGUAGGCCUUUGAUUGGCCUUGACGGCUGUCACUUAAAGGGUCUAUAUGGAGGGAUCUUUUUAUCUGCUGUUGUAUUAGAUGGUAAUAGAGGAGCACUACCCUUAGCAUUUGCAUUUGGAGAGUCAGAAUGUUUGGAGAGUUGGAAUUUUUUCUUAGAGAACCUGUAUCAUUGCACUGGAGACAACAGGCCAUGGACAUUCAUGUCUGAUAGACAAAAGGUAACCUAUCUAACUAGUUUGCUUUACUUUAUUACAUUAUCUAAUAUAUUAUUUAAUAUCCAUUGUCCAAUAGUAUGUUUUGACAAAAUGAAUUUUGUGUAGGGUUUAGUGGAAGCAGUAAAGGAGGUUUUUCCAACUGCUUGCCAUAGAUUCUGCUGUAGGCAUUUAUUCUCAAAUUCCAAGAAACAAUUUCCAGGAAUGCAACUAAAAGAUAACUUUUGAAAUUGUGCAAAAGCUACACAUAGUUAUGAAUUUUGGCUUCAUAUGAAGGUGUUUAAGCCUAAGAGGCAGCAGAAGCCAUAUGAUUGGUUGUUGUAGAAAGAGAUGAUUCUGGGUAUAUAUAUACAAUUGAUU
rnacentral:misc_RNA from 1 species